rnacentral:rRNA from 1 species
UGUUGGCUUUCUAACCCGCACCACUUAUCGUGGUGGGAGACAGUGUCAGGCGGGCAGUUUGACUGGGGCGGUCGCCUCCUAAAAGGUAACGGAGGCGCUCAAAGGUUCCCUCAGAAUGGUUGGAAAUCAUUCAUAGAGUGUAAAGGUAUAAGGGAGCUUGACUGCGAGACCUACAAGUCGAGCAGGGUCGAAAGACGGACUUAGUGAUCCGGUGGUUCCGCAUGGAAGGGCCAUCGCUCAACGGAUAAAAGCUACCCCGGGGAUAACAGGCUUAUCUCCCCCAAGAGUUCACA